CCUACGGGAGGCAGCAGUGAGGAAUAUUGGUCAAUGGACGCAAGUCUGAACCAGCCAUGCCGCGUGCGGGAAGACGGCUCUAUGAGUUGUAAACUGCUUUUGUAGGAGGGUAAACGCCGUUACGUGUCUCUUACUGCCUGUAUCGUACGAAUAAGGAUCGGCUAACUCCGUGCCAGCAGCCGCGGUAAUACGGAGGAUUCAAGCGUUAUCCGGAUUUAUUGGGUUUAAAGGGUUCGUAGGCGGUCCGUUAAGUUAGGGGUGAAAUCCCGAGGCUCAACUCCGGAAUGGACUCUGAUACUGGUAGACUAGAGAGUAGUAGAGGUAAGCGGAAUGUGUGGUGUAGCGGUGAAAUGCUUAGAGAUCGUGCAGAACACCGAUUGCGAAGGCAGCGUACCGGGCU
rnacentral:rRNA from 1 species